UUGUGGUUAAAGAAGAAGUUGUCACUCAAGCUGAGAACCUCCAGCCGAGAAUAACUUCUACUUCGACAUCUGUGGAGUAGACCCGGAACCUCCUGCAACACAAGGCAAGCACCGGUGCAUUAUCCCCUUUCCUUGAUGUUUUAAAAAAAACUGAUAAGAUGCAUUAGGUGGUAGGAGUUGUGUGCUAAAAAAAUUGAUGCAUUCCCUUCCUUGCAACUGAUUAUCAUUCCUUGUUACCUGAUUUAAUUAAAGUUUUCUGAUGCUUAGCUUUGCUCUAGAAAACAAAAUGUUUUGUUUCAAACAAAAGGUGAUGCUUCAUAUGGGAUGGGGAUUUUACAAAGAAAAGACUUGUGAUGGUGAAUCCAUCAUGGCCGUGAUGGGUUCAACAUCUGAAAAGAUGUACCUCUCGCUGGUACCAAACUUUGGUUUGUAAAUGAUAAAGAUGAGAUCGGGCGGGUGACUUGCACGAGAAGGAAGUCUUGGUGUAGUGUCUCCGUCUGAGUCGCUUACGGACCGAACCGAUGUAGGCUUGAUGAUCGAGGGCCUUUUAACUAGCGACAUGCCUCGUCAUGGGUAAGCUUUGCCUCGGUCGAACCAAUACCAGAAAGGGCACCACACAAUGGGAGUGGAGAGAUGGCGAGAGUAGCGUGUACCUUCCGUGGCAAGAGGCUGGACGGUGGUGUAUCUGUGCUCUCGGUUGGCAUGAAUCCAUUCUGGUCUUGAGAAACCCAGUGGCGAGUUGACAUAUGCAAGGGUUAAGUGCUACAUAUGUCGUAUGGUUGGAGAUCCCUAGCUGGGUAUUAAUCGAUUCGGAUUGCCGUUACCUCUCGGACAUGAAGACUUGGGCACGGCCCUACACGUAGCAAUCAAAUGAACCGAAGUAAUGUUAAAAGACGGGUAGCAUAGGCCAAGUGCCUGAUCUAGGCUAGAAAGAACUCUAGAUGCAGGUAUACUUAACCUGAUAAUAAAAAUGGAUUUUUAAGGAUCCACUCAAAGUAAGCUAGCAUAUCCUUGAGAGUCUUUUUCCUUUGACGGGUAAGACUUGAGAAAGUACACUACGUACUCAGGGUUUUUGAACCCAUGUUGUUGCAGGUGAUGAAAGAGCUGAGUUCUGCUGUUUCUGCUCCAAGGUGGUGCCCAAGUAGGAGGAAGAACACUAAACUUAUUUGGGGAGAAUGUUUUGCCUCCCGGUAAUGUAAUAAUAAGUUUCACACUCGAACACCCGG
rnacentral:lncRNA from 1 species